rnacentral:rRNA from 1 species
CGCCUGGGGAGUACGGGUGAGGUAACGGCUCACCAAGGCAUCGACGGGUAGCUGGUCUGAGAGGACGAUCAGCCACACUGGGACUGAGACACGGCCCAGACUCCUACGGGAGGCAGCAGUAGGGAAUCUUGCGCAAUGGGCGAAAGCCUGACGCAGCAACGCCGCGUGGGGGAUGAAUGCCUUCGGGUUGUAAACCCCUUUCAGCAGGGACGAAAAUGACGGUACCUGCAGAAGAAGCUCCGGCCAACUACGUGCCAGCAGCCGCGGUAAUACGUAGGGAGCGAGCGUUGUCCGGAAUUAUUGGGCGUAAAGAGCUCGUAGGCGGUUCAGUAAGUCGGGUGUGAAAACUCAAGGCUCGACCUUGAGACGCCACUCGAUACUGCUGUGACUUGAGUCCGGUAGAGGAGUGUGGAAUUCCUGGUGUAGCGGUGAAAUGCGCAGAUAUCAGGAGGAACACCAGCGGCGAAGGCGGCACUCUGGGCCGGUACUGACGCUGAGGAGCGAAAGCAUGGGGAGCAAACAGGAUUAGAUACCCUGGUAGUCUAUGCCGUAAACGUUGGGCACUAGGUAUGGGAUCAUAUCAACGGAUUCCGUGCCGUAGCUAACGCAUUAAGUGCCCCGCCUGGGGAGUACGG